GUUGUAUAGUCAAGUAAUUAAGUGCAUGUGGUGGAUGCCUUGGCAGUCAGAGGCGAUGAAAGACGUGAUAGCCUGCGAAAAGCUCCGGGGAGGCGGCAAAUAUCCUUUGAUCCGGAGAUGUCUGAAUGGGGGAACCCACCUACUUUAAGGUAGGUAUUGCAACAUGAAUACAUAGUGUUGCAAGGCGAACGAGGGGAAGUGAAACAUCUCAGUACCCUUAGGAAAAGAAAUCAAUUGAGAUUCCCUCAGUAGCGGCGAGCGAACGGGGAUCAGCCCAUUAAGUUAUGUGUGUUUUAGUGGAACGCUCUGGGAAGUGCGAACGUAGAGGGUGAUAUUCCCGUACACGAAAGGGCACACAUAAUGAUGACGAGUAGGGCGAGGCACGUGAAACCUUGUCUGAAUAUGGGGGGACCAUCCUCCAAGGCUAAAUACUCCUGACUGACCGAUAGUGAACCAGUACCGUGAGGGAAAGGCGAAAAGAACCCCUGUGAGGGGAGUGAAAUAGAUCCUGAAACCGCAUGCAUACAAGCAGUGGGAGCACCUUCGUGGUGUGACUGCGUACCUUUUGUAUAAUGGGUCAGCGACUUAUAUUCAGUAGCGAGGUUAACCGUAUAGGGGAGCCGUAGAGAAAUCGAGUCUUAAUAGGGCGUUUAGUUGCUGGGUAUAGACCCGAAACCAGGCGAUCUAUCCAUGAGCAGGUUGAAGGUUGGGUAACACUAACUGGAGGACCGAACCCACUGUCGUUGAAAAGCCAGGGGAUGACUUGUGGAUAGGGGUGAAAGGCUAAUCAAGCCUGGUGAUAGCUGGUUCUCCCCGAAAGCUAUUUAGGUAGCGCCUCGGACGAAUACCAUAGGGGGUAGAGCACUGUUUCGGCUAGGGGGUCAUCCCGACUUACCAAACCGAUGCAAACUCCGAAUACCUAUGAGUACUAUCCGGGAGACAGACUGCGGGUGCUAACGUCCGUAGUCAAGAGGAAAACAAUCCAGACCGCCAGCUAAGGCCCCAAAAUCAUAGUUAAGUGGGAAACGAUGUGGGAAGGCAUAGACAGCUAGGAGGUUGGCUUAGAAGCAGCCACCCUUUAAAGAAAGCGUAAUAGCUCACUAGUCGAGUCGGCCUGCGCGGAAGAUGUAACGGGGCUAAAACUAUGUGCCGAAGCUGCGGAUGUAUACUUUGUAUACGUGGUAGGGGAGCGUUCUGUAAGCCGAUGAAGGUGUGUUGAGAAGCAUGCUGGAGGUAUCAGAAGUGCGAAUGCUGACGUGAGUAACGACAAAACGGGUGAAAAACCCGUUCGCCGAAAGACCAAGGGUUCCAGUCCAACGUUAAUCGGGGCUGGGUGAGUCGACCCCUAAGGCGAGGCCGAAAGGCGUAGUCGAUGGGAAAAUGGUUAAUAUUCCAUUACUUCUGUGUAAUGCGAUGAGAGGACGGAGAAGGCUAAAUCAGCCUGGCGUUGGUUGUCCAGGUGAAAGGAUGUAGGCAUGUAUCU
rnacentral:rRNA from 1 species